GCCAAGCUAGUAUAAAUAGUACUAGUGGCUUACAUCCACUUAGAGGCUUGUAGUUGGCCGCUUGGUU
rnacentral:tRNA from 1 species